rnacentral:lncRNA from 1 species
AUAAAGUAAACAUAACACGUGAAAUGAUUUUAGAUGGAUAUAUAGGAAUAGGAAUAGGAAUAGGACUCAGACAAAGGCCUGAAUUUUGUGACAGUAGUAAUUCUUUGGAACCAUCCAAUGUUGUUGGCAUCACGUCACAUCUUAAACCUAUUCCCAGUGAAAAGCCCAAUUUUGAAUAAUUCCCUAUUCAUUUUCAAUUUAUGGUGUCUUUUAUUUUAGGGAGGGAGGUGAAAAAUACAUUCUCUCUGUAUAAAAAGAGAAUGCUUAGUGCAUAUUUAUAGGUCUUUAUGAGCUCGAAUAACUAAAUAAUUUAGAUUAUUUAUGCAUCUAAUACUUCAAAUUACUCAUUCCGUCCCACUUAUCUUGAGAUAGUUUUCAUUUUGAGCGUCCCAACUAUCUUGAGAUCUUUCUUUAUCUAACAAAAAAAUUAUCCUAUAUUCACAUUUUCACUUUUUCAUCUAUACACAAAACACUACUUUCAUAAUUCUCAUGCCAAAAAAAAGGUCUCAAGAUAGUAGGAAUGAAGGGAGUAUUAAUUAAGAAGGUUCGAGAUAAAACCAACGCUCUCUCUUAUUAUAGUAUUUCUCUUUGAAAAACAACCUCACCUCACCCUUGAGAUAAUUAAAUUUUAAUGAUACAAUAACUAUUCAUUGUAUUUUUUAUCUUACUUUUAUUAAUCAAUUCAUUUUCAAAUAUUAAUAUCAAACAAGUGCUUAGUUUGUUCGGUAUGAGUUUUAAUAAAUGUUAGGUGAAUGUGUUGUAAGUGGGGAAAGUGAGGAUAAAAGAAUAAGGCAUUAGUGGUAGGAUCAUGUCAAAAAAUGGGCUCUUCAUAUUCUUCUGAGACGGACGAACAAGAAAAGUGAGCAAUGAGCAUACUCCGCUGUGAGAGAGGGAGUAUAUUUUGGCUUUUUUUUUUUUAAGAUUGAUAAUUUUUAGAAUGGAUCUUUUUCCUAACAACUUAUUUUCUUUCUUUUAAUCUAGUUCGUGAUAAUAUUAUUACGGAGUAUACAUAUAUAUGAUAAGUAUGGUAUUUUUUUAGGGUACAUGUUUGUGUAUUAAAAUGAAGAAAGAUGCUCAUCAAAAUUACAUUGUUAGAUAAUUAAUAAAUAAUUUGUUAAAUAAUUUUUUGUAAAUAUUAUAUAUGAAUGAAGUAAAAAUAAAAAUAUACUACUUCAUCCGUUCAUUAUAAAACUUUCUAUUUUUCUUUUUGAAACGUCCACGAAAAAACUUCAUAUUAUAUUUUUGGAUUAUACCCCAUUUAUUCUAACUUUUCACAUUUUCACUACUCUAAUACUUACAAUACAUUUUUACUACUUUCAAUACACUCAACAACCUCAUUUUAAAACUCAUGUUACUUCCUCCUUUUUUUUCUUUUUUUAUCAUGACAUAGGAAGUAUGUCUUAAAAUAUAAUGAUUAUACCCCUUCGUCCACGAAAAAGAGUCAUAUUUUUUCAUUUUCUCUUGUCCAUGAAAAAUUAUCUUAUUUUACUUUUGAACCACAAAUUCUACUUCUCUCCUAUAUUUAAGUAUAAAUUAUAUUUUUAUUCUAUUUUUAAUUAAGAAUAUACCUUUUUAUUUUUUUGUACCUAUAUUGCCUCUAUAUAUAAAUUAUAUAUUUAUUUUACUUGCAACAAUUUUAAUAAUUUUAUUAAAAUUUAUAUUCAUUUUUAAACGGGAUUUUUUAAUACACGAGGGGAGUAUUUAUUAUGGACCGAGGAAAAUUACGAGUGACACUUGUGUGGAUUGAUAAAUUAUUAAGAUUUGAGUUCUUUCCGUACAGAACUUUAAUAACAAUUGUUGCAUAUAUUUUGCAAUCCUUAGAUUUUNUAUCCCCCUAACUUUGCAUAUUUGCAUCCAUAGUAGUAAGAAUGAAUGCCGUCAAUAAAUAGAGGGUUAAGUGUCUCGAACUUUGGAGCAUUCUUUCAAAAAAUGACUUGAAUUUCGCUUGAGAUGGUAAUUUUUUUUACCUCAUUUAUUAUAUAUUCACACAGACACCUCGCUAGUUAUUUCAAUUUUUUGGUGCCAAAUUCUCGACCAUGAGUCACAAUUUUUCUAUAAAAUUUUGAAUGAAAAUUUAGAUAAUUCUUAAAAGGUGUUUCAAAAUUUAUGUCAUAAACUAUAAUACUUUUAUGCAAUGAUUAAAUCUAACAGAGAAAAAAACUUUAUACAAUGAUUUAUAGUAUUAACUACUUAAGUAUAGAAGGAGUAGGGCAACAAGAUUCCGCCGUGAAAUCUCCUUUCGUAAAUGAUACUCCCUCCGUCCCAAAUAAAAUAUCUUAUUUCUUUUCGGCACGGAAAUUAAGAAAUGUGUAUAAAAUAGAUAAAGUGAGUUGGUGAAAAUUAUUUAAAUAUUAAGUAUAGAGAGACUGUGUAUUGCCAAAAUAGGAAACAUGACAUUUUGUUUGAGACAGUCCAAAAAUGAAAACAUGACAUUUCGUUUGGGACUGAGGGAGUAGUAGUAUAAAGUAAACAUAACACGUGAAAUGAUUUUAGAUGGAUAUAUAGGAAUAGGAAUAGGAAUAGGACUCAGACAAAGGCCUGAAUUUUGUGACAGUAGUAAUUCUUUGGAACCAUCCAAUGUUGUUGGCAUCACGUCACAUCUUAAACCUAUUCCCUGUGAAAAGCCCAAUUUUGAAUAAUUCCCUAUUCAUUUUCAAUUUAUGGUGUCUUUUAUUUUAGGGAGGGAGGUGAAAAAUACAUUCUCUCUGUAUAAAAAGAGAUGCUUAGUGCAUAUUUAUAGGUCUUUAUGAGCUCGAAUAACUAAAUAAUUUAGUUAUUUAUGCAUCUAAUACUUCAAAUUACUUUCCGUCCCACUUAUCUUGAGUAGUUUUCAUUUUGAGCGUCCCAACUAUCUUGAGAUCUUUCUUUAUCUAACAAAAAAUUUAUCCUAUAUUCACAUUUUCACUUUUUCAUCUAUACACAAAACACUACUUUCAUAAUUCUCAUGCCAAAAAAAAGGUCUCAAGAUAGUAGGAAUGAAGGGAGUAUUAAUUAAGAAGGUUCGAGAUAAAACCAACGCUCUCUCUUAUUAUAGUAUUUCUCUUUGAAAAACAACCUCACCUCACCCUUGAGAUAAUUAAAUUUUAAUGAUACAAUAACUAUUCAUUGUAUUUUUUAUCUUACUUUUAUUAAUCAAUUCAUUUUCAAAUAUUAAUAUCAAACAAGUGCUUAGUUUGUUCGGUAUGAGUUUUAAUAAAUGUUAGGUGAAUGUGUUGUAAGUGGGGAAAGUGAGGAUAAAAUAAUAAGGCAUUAGUGGUAGGAUCAUGUCAAAAAAUGGGCUCUUCAUAUUCUUCUGAGACGGACGAACAAGAAAAGUGAGCAAUGAGCAUACUCCGCUGUGAGAGAGGGAGUAUAUUUUGGCUUUUUUAAUUUUUUUUUAAUUUUUUUUUAAGAUUGAUAAUUUUUAGAAUGGAUCUUUUUCCUAACAACUUAUUUUCUUUUCUUUUAAUCUAGUUCGUGAUAAUAUUAUUAUGGAGUAUACAUAUAUAUGAUAAGUAUGGUAUUUUUUUGAGGGUACAUGUUUGUGUAUUAAAAUGAAGAAAGAUGCUCAUCAAAAUUACAUUGUUAGAUAAUUAAUAAAUAAUUUGUUAAAUAAUUUUUUUGUAAAUAUUAUAUAUGAAUGAAGUAAAAAAUAAAGAUAUACUACUUCAUCCGUUCAUUAUAAAACUUUCUAUGUUUUUCUUUUUGAAACGUCCAUGAAAAAACUUCAUAUUAUAUUUUUGGAUUAUACCCCAUUUAUUCUAACUUUUCACAUUUUCACUACUCUAAUACUAAUUACAAUACAUUUUUACUACUUUCAAUACACUCAACAACCUCAUUUUAAAACUCAUGUUACUUCCUCCUUUUUUUUUUCUUUUUUUUAUCAUGAACAUAGGAAGUAUGUCUUAAAAUAUAAUGAUUAUACCCCUUCGUCCACGAAAAAGAGUCAUAUUUUUUCAUUUUCUCUUGUCCAUGAAAAAUAAUCUUAUUUUACUUUUUGAACCACCAAAUUCUACCUUCUCUCCUAUAUUUAAGUAUAAAUUAUAUUUUUAUUCUAUUUUUUAAUUAAGAAUAUACCUUUUUUAUUUUUUUGUACCUAUAUUGCCUCUAUAUAUAAAUUAUAUAUUUAUUUUACUUGCAACAAUUUUAAUAAUUUUAUUAAAAUUUAUAUUCAUUUUUAAACGGGAUUUUUUAAUACACGAGGGGAGUAUUUAUUAUGGACCGAGGAAAAUUACGAGUGACACUUGUGUGGAUUGAUAAAUUAUUAAGAUUUGAGUUCUUUCCGUACAGAACUUUAAUAACAAUGUUGCAUAUAUUUUUGCAAUCCUUAGAUUUUUGAUCGCGCAUUGAUUGCACACGUGCAUGUAUUCCACGUGCAUGUAUUCCGACCUUUAAGUUUCGAUUGGUUGUUUAUGUACUCCUUGAAUAUAUGAUUGAAUGUCGGAAAUGCUGGUAAAAAUAAUAUUUUUAUUUACAAUAAAUCUAUCUAUGCAGUCACGUUGUGGUCACCCACAAACUACUAUAAUAAGAAAAUUUUUGAUUGAUUUAAUUUAUUUUUUUAAAUAAAAAUAGGAUUUAAUUAUUUUAUUAUAUUCUUUAUAUUGUACUUAUUUUUUUAAAAAAAAUUUAUUUGAAAUUUAUUUUUUAAUAAAAAUAAAAAAGUUACCAAAAAAUUGCAAAAAAAUAACUACAAUGUAGAGAAUAUGAUAAAAUAACUAAAUCUUGUUUUUCUAUUUAGGUAAAUUGUGGGUGGCCACAAUGUGGCUGUUUAGCGUUACUCUUUUAUUUAUCCGAAUGUGUAGCACAAUUGGUUUGAACCCGCGCCUUCCGUAUCAAGGUUGCAGGUCCGAUCCUCAUUGCAGGUGAAAUUUUCUGUUCUUUCAUGCUUUCCAACUCAUUCAUUUUUUGUUCUUUAUACAUAAAAUAUCUAGACUUAAUUUAUAAAUUAUCUAUAUUUAUAAUGUAUUUACAUAUCAUAAAUAUACAAUUACUUUAUACGACGUUAAUUUAUACACUAAGUGUAAGGUUCGUAAUUUAUUGAAUGCAUAUAGUUUUUCAUUCUCAUUUUAAAUAAAUGUU